GAUGAAUGCUGGCGGCGUGCCUAACACAUGCAAGUCGAGCGGCAGCGAGGGGUGCUUGCACCCUGUCGGCGAGCGGCGAACGGCUGAGUAACGCGUAGGAAUUUGCCCCAAAGUGAGGAAUAACUGCCCGAAAGGGUAGCUAAUGCCGCAUAUGGUCUUCGGAUUAAAGGAUUUAUCCGCUUUGGGAGAAGCCUGCGUUGGAUUAGGUUGUUGGUAGGGUAAUGGCCUACCAAGCCGACGAUCCAUAGCUGGUCUGAGAGGAUGAUCAGCCAGACUGGAACUGAGACACGGUCCAGACUCCUACGGGAGGCAGCAGUGAGGAAUCUUCCACAAUGGGCGAAAGCCUGAUGGAGCAACGCCGCGUGAAGGAUGAAGGCCUUCGGGUUGUAAACUUCUUUUAUGAGUGAAGAAUAUGACGGUAACUCGUGAAUAAGCACCGGCUAACUACGUG
rnacentral:rRNA from 1 species